GAGGAUUCGAAGAAGAGAUGACGCUAUGGAGUUUUUGUGCAUGUUUGAGUGGUGCUCUAGCGAAGAUGAACUGUGGUGGAGAAGUUGUGCAUGGUUGACAGAGUAGAAGAUGGACCAUGGUGACUGCUAGUGACAACGGUGCAUGGUGACUGACAGAGGAGUUGUGGUAGUCCGGUGAUGGUGGCGGCACAAGGAGAUUGGUAAGAAGGUUAGGGUUUUGGAGAUGAAAGAUGAAACUGAUGUGACAGGGAUGAUGAGGUGGUUGCCUCACAUUGGUUUCCUCACCGCCAUUAAGAGACCAGAUCGUGAACCAUCCACAUCAAUUAAGGUGUCCCUACCCAGAACAGGUAAGAAAUUGAUUCCAGCGUGUCACAUCAAACAUACACUAACGCCG
rnacentral:lncRNA from 1 species